GGCUUCAAGUUUUGUAAUCACUGUUUGAGGUAUAAUGGAGGUUGCUGGGCAGCCUCACUUAGUUACACUUAGGUACUGUAGAGACCACAUCAAUAUCAACAGGGCAUUAAAAAUUAAGGUAGUUUAUAUAUGUAUAUAUUUUAAAAACCUAUAGAAAAUAUUUUUAUUACACAUUUGAUAUAUAGUCUAAUUUCUUAAAAUAUGAAGUAAAUCCCGUUUCUUGGUUAUCUCAUUAAAAAGAAGUCCAUCAUGUCCUUUAUUCAACAUUUACAAACUGACUUGUGCUCAAGCAGCAUAGGUUAAGGAAUCAGUAUCUGUGGCUGAUAACAUUGUCAGCUGUGUUAAUAUACCAAAGCAUGUCUUGGGUCUUGGUACUCAAUCAAACUUCCUCCAUAACAGUGCCCCAUAAGGAGAGAAAGGUAGAAAAAGAGGUUUUGUGGUUUUCUUCCUUUCUCAAAAUAGUUUUUCUUACUCCAAGCAUGAGACCCAAGUGCAGAUAUGCUUCAGGGGCAGCCAGUCCUUGCUCUGCCCCUGGCAACACUGACAAUAUGCCAGGGCUAAGCCCGAUUCAUACAAGGUGGACUGAUACAGAUGAUCUUUACCAUAGAGACGAGGCCCUCAGCAAUAACAGUGUGCAAACCACCACUCUGCUCCUAACUCUCCACACUUACCAGGUCACUGCAUGGUCUACCCGCUGUGCCCCAGCACUCAAGAUUAGAGUAUACCCAGGCCACAGCCCUGCUGGACCACGCUUUAACUAUCCCUGCACUAGGAAAAGCCCGUAUCAGCUUUCAGCCUUAAGCUUCAGGCCGAGCUGAACUCAGAAGUUAAGCCUCAUGUUGGCUUCUAGGGUGCUGCUGAGUUUAAUUACCUUCCUUUCACUCCUUUUGGAAAUAGAGCUUUCCCCAACCUUCUUUGAAAUAAUAUUGGCAUUUCUUAAGAUUCUGACUCCUCCACAAGCUCCACUGGCUUCAAAGGCUUUGCCUACCAAAUCAGCACAAUUUGAGUUGUUUUGUGCUGUAGUCAGCAAUGCUGUUUCCUGACCAUUACUACAGACCCAAGGCUUCCCUAGAAGCCAUCGAGAGAUUUUAACUCCAAAAUUUAAAUCCAUAGGAAAGUAACUACUUUUUUGUUUGUUUGUUUCUGAUUUCUAAACUGCUGUUUAAAUAAAUGAACUGUUUUUCCUCGUAUAUGUAUUAAAAGCUUGUGUUUUGAUUUUUUUUUUUUUGUUAAUAAAACUAUUCCCUCUGGUAUUCAUUCAUGUUUUAUAAAUGCUUGUAUAAAGCUGAGAAAGUAUAGUUAAUAUAGCCAUAGCUUUGCUAUUCUUACAGAUUUUCCACACACAGUGUUGAAAAUCCUUUUCUUUUGGCUGAUACUUCUGUCUCUUGAUGAAAUGAUUGGGAUUUUCCCCUACUCCCCCCUUCCUUUAGCUUAAAAAAAGUAAACCAGUUUGUUCUCCUCGU
ensembl:lncRNA